AACGGCGACGCCUCUAACCCUGUAGUCUGAGUAAAUCAACAGUAGGACAUGGGGAGGGGCAAAGAAGUCAAGCAGGGACGUUUGUGGGGCUGGGAGGGGAAAGAGGCUUUGCCUGAGUAACUCUUCUCACCCCAGCUGCAGUGAGUCUGAUUCAACUGAUGGGACAUCGGUGGUGGUUCUGCCUCCCCAGGCUGCCUGACAAAUGCCUGGCCAGCGGAGAUCAGAGGCAAAUGCCACGGCAGCUCGGCCCUGUUGUCAGAGCGAGUCACUGGCUGGGAAGAUGGAUUGGGCCUGGGCCUCGGAGCCAGGGCCACGGCAGCCUCCUUCCGGGACAUCGGGUGGGCAGUGCUGAGCCCAGGGCUGCACUGAGAGAGCCGCAGAGGGGCCCGAGUGUCCUAGCCUUGGAAGAAUCCCGGGGCUUAGACUCAGUGCCCCCUCCCAGGUCUGGCUGCAGGAGGAGCCUCACAGACUGCAGACACGUCAUAGUUUGCCGUUGAGUGAUUGAGGACUUGGGAAGAAAUCCGGUUUACAACUUCGAACCUUCAUUCCUGGAGCUUCAACCUGACACUGGAGGGGCAAAGAAGGUGACAUUGGGAGCCCGAGGGAGGGGUCUCCCCCAGGCGUGGGUGGACCUCAUGUCUAGAAUGGACUGGGACGAGCUGUGUUCAGGAGUGGCGGCUCCCCAAGCCCUGUUUUGGCAGAUUUGAUUUUCAGUUUGUGAGCAUGGGGCCUCAGAUGUGAAGAGAAGCUCAGAAUUCAGGGAGGUUCGGGGUCCCCUGGCAGGGCAGGGACCAGGGCAGGGCACCAGGGCAGGGCACCAGGGCAGGGCAGGGGACCAGGGCAGGGCAGGGGACCAGGGCAGGGCACCUGCCAGGAGACCCCGAACCUCCCUGAAUUCUGAGCUUCCCUUCACAGGGUGCAGGUGAGACCAGGUCAGGAACACUCCUGAAACAGCGGAGGCCCAGCCUGGCCUGUCCCGCUCCGAUGGACUUGCUGGGCUACCUGCUGUCACCCUGAGUGACACCCUGAAGUUCCUCAGCCCCAGGAGGCCUCCAGUCACCAUGGCUGCUACUGUCUUUAGAUGUCUACACUUGGUUGCCUUUUCAAGAAAUGCUCACUGUCACUUCCCCAAAGGGCUACUUUGGUGUCACUGAGAAGAAUUCCCCCUGGUGAGCAGGGCAGC
rnacentral:lncRNA from 1 species